AGCUUACCGGCGGCGGUGCUCUCGGGUGCGGCGGCUCUCCGGUGAAGUUCGUGUUUUGGUGAUUCGGCUCUGACCAACCUGUAGAGAAAAGAAUGGUGAUCACGGUGAUAUAAAAAUUGCAUUAAACGGAGACCGGGAAGGGCCUCAUCGAAGGCAAAAAUCGAGGAGGGGCGCGGCGGCGCCGCUGGCUUUCGAUCGUGUUUUCCGGCCGUUUGGCCGGGAUUUUGGCUCCGAUUUGGCCACUGGAGAAAUCAGCGUGGAAAAACGAGUCGGGAGUAUGAAAUUUACCUCGAUCGGCGGUCGGAAAUCCCUCCGGUGCGGCAGCGGGCGGCGACGGCCGGCUUCUGGUUCGUCUUCUCCGGCGAGGGCGGGCGGCUAGGGUUUGGGGUCUGGUGUGGGGGUCUUAUUUAUACCCU
rnacentral:lncRNA from 1 species